GACGAACGCUGGCGGCGUGCUUAACACAUGCAAGUCGAACGGAAAGGCCCUGCUUUUGUGGGGUGCUCGAGUGGCGAACGGGUGAGUAACACGUGAGUAACCUGCCCUUGACUUUGGGAUAACUUCAGGAAACUGGGGCUAAUACCGGAUAGGAGCUCCUGCUGCAUGGUGGGGUUGGAAAGUUUCGGCGGUUGGGGAUGGACUCGCGGCUUAUCAGCUUGUUGGUGGGGUAGUGGCUUACCAAGGCUUUGACGGGUAGCCGGCCUGAGAGGGUGACCGGCCACAUGGGGACUGAGAUGCGGCCCAGACUCCUACGGGAGGCAGCAGUGGGGAAUAGUGCACAAUGGGCGGAAGCCUGAUGCAGCAACGCCGCGUGCGGGAUGACGGCCUUCGGGUUGUAAACCGCUUUCGCCUGUGACGAAGCGUGAGUGACGGUAAUGGGUAAAGAAGCACCGGCUAACUACGUG
rnacentral:rRNA from 1 species